rnacentral:lncRNA from 1 species
UAAUAUCCAGGACAACUAAUCAAAACGCAGCGUACAGGGAGGACAAAUGAAAUGUUCUGAUUGGCUCAUGCCAAUAGAACAGUGCCAUACACAUGCAAACACGAGAGGAAUUCUGGGCAACGCUUAGAAAUUAGGGUUUUUCAUGUACAGUGUUCAUCAUCAUCUUCUUCACAAAUCGAAAAAUAUUUUAGUCACAAAAUUAAACAACAGCCAU